UAGGGAAUAUUAGAAAUGGACGAAAGUCUGAUCUAGCAACACCGCGUGUGCGAUGAAGGCCUUCGGGUCGUAAAGCACUUUUGGAAGGAAUAGGAAGGAAUGUACUUCCAGAAUAAGUCUCGGCUAACUACGUGCCAGCAGCCGCGGUAACACAUAGGAGGCAAACGUUAUCCGGAUUUACUGGGCGUAAAGCGCGUGUAGGUGGUACUGUAAGUAGGGCGUGAAAGCUCCUGGCUCAACUGGGAGAGGCCGUUCUAAACUACAGAACUAGAGGAUGGUAGAGGGAGGUGGAAUUCCAGGUGUAGCGGUGGAAUGCGCAGAUAUCUGGAGGAACACCGGUGGCGAAGGCGGCCUCCUGGACCAUUCCUGACACUCAGACGCGAAAGCUAGGGUAGCAAACGG
rnacentral:rRNA from 1 species